GCCUGAGAUACAGAGGACCAGGGUGGGGAAACCAAGGAUGAGAAGGGUUCAUAAGCAGGGCUGCCAUCAACAUCUGUGGGGCCCAGAGGAAGAGUGAAAAUGGAUGCCACAAAUAAAAGGCCAUGGCAAAGAACACUGGCCAGCUGGAAAUAUUUCCUGUGGACUCACACUAAUAUCUGAAGCUAGGUUAAACAUGCAUGCUGUUUUGACAGAGUAUAUCACAUAAAAGCACACUGUUCUGGAGAAGAUUUCCUCCACGGAGUAAGUACAGGCUUGGGCUUUGAUGAAUACUGAAGGUAUAUAUCAGUCCCUUGAAAUGAAUUUCUGAAGAAGAGCUUAAGGGUUCAGAUUCACUACUCGUAACAUUAAAAAGCUUGCUCUCUUAAGGAAUCUCUGUUCUCUUUAAAUCAUAG